GACGAACGCUGGCGGCAUGCCUAACACAUGCAAGUCUAGGGGUAGCAAUACCACUGGCGCACGGGUGAGUAACACGUAGGUUAUCUGCCCCCAUCACAGACAUAACCCCGGGAAACCGGGGCUAAUAUCUGAUGAGGUCGCGAGAUCAAAGCUUCGGCGGAUGGGGAUGAGCCUGCGGCUGAUUAGCUAGUUGGUGAGGUAAUGGCUCACCAAGGCGACGAUCAGUAGCUGGUCUGAGAGGACGAACAGCCACACUGGAACUGAGACACGGUCCAGACUCCUACGGGAGCAGCAGUGAGGAAUAUUGGUCAAUGGGAGCAAUCCUGAACCAGCAAUGCCGCGUGUGGGAUGACAGGGCUUCGCCUUGUAAACCACUGUCGGACGGGACGAAAGGAGGCCUCGGGGCCUCUGGGACGGUACCGUCAAAGGAAGGGUCGGCUAACGUACGUGCCAGCAG
rnacentral:rRNA from 1 species